rnacentral:rRNA from 1 species
ACGGUCCUUUCGGGGAUAGUGGCGGACGGGUGAGUAACGCGUGAGAAUCUGCCUUCAGGACGGGAACAACAACUGGAAACGGUUGCUAAAGCCCGAUGUGCCUUUCGGGGUGAAAUACUUGUAGCCUGAAGAUGAGCUCGCGUCCGAUUAGCUAGUUGGUGGAGUAAUGGUUUACCAAGGCGACGAUCGGUAACUGGUCUGAGAGGAUGACCAGUCACACUGGGACUGAGACACGGCCCAGACUCCUACGGGAGGCAGCAGUGGGGAAUUUUCCGCAAUGGGCGAAAGCCUGACGGAGCAAUACCGCGUGAGGGAGGAAGGCUCUUGGGUCGUAAACCUCUUUUAUCAGGGAAGAAACAAAUGACGGUACCUGAUGAAUCAGCAUCGGCUAACUCCGUGCCAGCAGCCGCGGUAAUACGGAGGAUGCAAGCGUUAUCCGGAAUUAUUGGGCGUAAAGCGUCCGCAGGUGGUUUUGAAAGUUUGCUGUCAAAGCGCGGAGCUUAACUUCGUACCGGCAGUGAAAACUCCAAGACUAGAGUUUGGUAGGGGUCACGGGAAUUCCCAGUGUAGCGGUGAAAUGCGUAGAGAUUGGGAAGAACACCAGCGGCGAAAGCGCGUGACUGGGCCUGAACUGACACUCAUGGACGA